UUUUACUGUUCCUAACAACAGCCGAUGUCUUGUGACUGACCACAUGGUGUAUCCUUUAAAUACGCCACGUUUGAUCCCAGUGCCCACUUCUGACAGAAAGCACCAUGAGGGGUCUGGUGGUUCUGGCGUUCAUCGCACUGCUGCACCAAGGAGGGGCAGUGAGUGACAAGAAGCUUGUUGCAAAACUGCCUGAGAAUGGCCGUUGGGGUUCCUGGAAUUCUAAUUCCGGUGAAUCAGACAGCAAUAACAACGAGGCAGGAACAUCAACCUGGGGGAACUUGUUGCAGUCCAUGUCAGGGUCGAGAUGUGAGGCAUCCUGUGAGACCUUGGAGGAGAUGCAGUCCUACAUGACCAACAACUUGCAGGCCCAGACAGACCAGACCACCCAAAUCGGGGCUCUUCAGGCGACCGUCAGCAGCCAGGACAGCAUCAUCCAGCAGCAGGCUGCAGCCUUAGCACAACUGCGAGUCUCGCUUCAGCGGCUCACCAGCUCCUUUAACCAACUGGAAGGAACUGUGCAGCAGCAAGCCGUCAGUCUGCAGCAACAAAUCACCACUUAUGGGCAACAAGCCACCAGCUUGCAGCAACAGGCUGCCAUCAUUCAAGAACAAGCCAGCACCAUCCAGCAACUGCAAGAUAUCCUGAAUGCUCCCCGUGACUGCCUGGACCUGUACAACACCGGUCACAACACCAGUGGAGUCUACCAGAUCUACCCAGGCGGGAAGGAUCCCUUCCCUGUCUACUGUGACAUGGACACUGAUGGCGGCGGAUGGACGGUCUUCCAAAGGCGCCAUGAUGGUUCAGUGAGUUUCUCCUUGGGCUGGCAGGACUACAAGACAGGCUUUGGAGACAUCAAGUCAGAGUUCUGGCUAGGCAAUGACAAUCUGGCUAGACUGACAGGCCAGGAUGUGUACGAGCUGAGGGUCGACCUGGAGGACUUCGAGGGAAACUCUGCCUACGCCAAAUACAGCACCUUCAGGGUGGAAGAUGAACUUGAGCAGUACAAACUGACUGUUGAUGGAUACUCGGGAAAUGCAGGGGACGACAUGACAUGGAGCUCCACCGCAUUCUUCUCCACCAUCGACACCAGCAACUACGUCCAUCAGGGCAUUUGUGACCUUGGCAACAAGGGCGGCUGGUGGUACGGCAGCUGUCGUGACCCCAACCUGAACGGCCAGUACCUCAGUGGACCACAACAGUCUAACGGAGAUGGGGUGAACUGGGACAGUUGGAAAGGAGACCGCUACUCUCUCAAACACACUGAGAUGAAGAUCAGGCGAAGCACCAUGAAGGGGGUGGUAGUGGUUCUGGCGCUUGUCUCGCUGCUGCAUCAAGGUGCACUUGGUGCACAAGGAGGUAAUGGACACCACAAUCAGGUGUCUACCACGACAACAUGUGACGUGUCCUGUCAAGCCCUGACUGACAUGCAGUCCUUCAUGACCACUGCUCCACAGGCCCAGACAGACCAGACCACCCAAAUCGGGGCUCUUCAGGCGACCGUCAGCAGCCAGGACAGCACCAUCCAGCAGCAGGCUGCAGCCUUAGCACAACUGGAGGGAACUCUGCAGCAACAGGAAGCCACUGACCAGCAACUGGCAAGCAGCCUACAGCAACAGGAAACCACCAUUCAACAACAGGCCAACAGCCUACAGCAACUGGAAGCUACCAACCAGCAACAGGACAGCACCAUCCAACAACAAGCCACCAGCUUGCAACAACAGGAAACCACCAUCCAACAACAAGCCAGCAGCAUACAGCAACUUGAAGCCACCAUCCAACAGCAUGAAAAAAUGAAGAACUACUGGCUAACAGACUGCAGCAGCUGGAAGCAACUGUUCAGCAACAAGCAAGUGCCAUGCUGCAACAGGUUCAGCAAGUAGCCACCAGCUUGCAGCAACAUGAAACCACCAUCCAGGCACAAGCCGCCAGCUUGCAGCAACAGGAAGCCACCAUCCAGGCACAAGCUGCCAGCUUGCAGCAGCAGAAGCCACCAUCCAGGCACAGGCCGCCAGCUUGCAGCAACAGGAAGCCACCAUCCAGACACAAGCCACCAGCUUGCAGCAACUGGAAGCUACUGUGCAGCAACAAGCCACAAGCCUGCAGCAACAGGAAACUGCCGACCAGCAACUAACAAGUUCCUUGCAGCAACUGGAGGGAACAGUGCAGCAACAAGCCACCAGCCUGCAGCAACAGGAGACUGCUGACCAGCAACUCGCCAGCAACCUUCAGCAGCUGCAAGGAACUGUCCAGCAACAAGCCACCAGCCUGCAACAACAGGAGACAGCUGACCAGCAACUCGCCAGCAACCUUCAGCAGCUGCAAGGAACUGUUCAGCAACAAGCCACCAGCCUGCAGCAACAGGAGACAGCUGACCAGCAACUCGCCAGCAACCUUCAGCAGCUGGAGGGAACCCUGCAGCAACAAGCUAUCAAUUAUGCCCAACAAGCUGCCAGCCAACAAACCUACAUCCAGCAGCUGGAAGAUAUCCUGAAUGCUCCCCGUGACUGCCUGGACCUGUACAACACCGGUCACAACACCAGUGGAGUCUACCAGAUCUACCCAGGCGGGAAGGAUCCCUUCCCUGUCUACUGUGACAUGGCCACUGAUGGCGGCGGAUGGACGGUCUUCCAAAGGCGCCAUGAUGGUUCAGUGAGUUUCUCCCUGCGCUGGCAGGACUACAAGACAGGCUUUGGAGACAUCAAGUCAGAGUUCUGGCUAGGUUGA